CCUACGGGAGGCAGCAGUAGGGAAUCUUCCGCAAUGGACGAAAGCCUGACGGAGCAACGCCGCGUGAACGAUGAAGGCCUUCGGGUCGUAAAGUUCUGUCGUUAGGGAAGAACAAGUGCUAGUUGAAUAAGCUGGCACCUUGACGGUACCUAACCAGAAAGCCACGGCUAACUACGUGCCAGCAGCCGCGGCAAUACGUAGGUGGCAAGCGUUGUCCGGAAUUAUUGGGCGUAAAGCGCGCGCAGGCGGUUUCUUAAGUCUGAUGUGAAAGCCCCCGGCUCAACCGGGGAGGGUCAUUGGAAACUGGGAAACUUGAGUGCAGAAGAGGAAAGUGGAAUUCCAAGUGUAGCGGUGAAAUGCGUAGAGAUUUGGAGGAACACCAGUGGCGAAGGCGACUUUCUGGUCUGUAACUGACGCUGAGGCGCGAAAGCGUGGGGAGCAAACAGGAUUAGAUACCCUGGUAGUCCACGCUGUAAACGAUGAGUGCUAAGUGUUAGAGGGUUUCCGCCCUUUUAGUGCUGAAGUUAACGCAUUAAGCACUCCGCCUGGGGAUCGGUGCAAGCUGAAACUCAAAGGAUUGACGGNUGNGNGNGCGAGGCGACGACGAGGAGAGG
rnacentral:rRNA from 1 species